AGCCUGAGUUAAAUGGCUCAUCCUCUUCUGGCUCUCUCCAUCAGGAUACAGCAGGACAGGCCGAGUUCACAGAUGAGUUUCUCCAUCAGUGUGCUAACAGUAACUCUGAUCUGGCUGAGGUUGUGGAACAGAUUAACCACAGUUUUCCUGCAUGCUCUCCGUCAAGUGUGUCCUCAAGGCCCAAGGUAAGUCUCACCACAUUUAACAGUAAAAACACUCCACGGUAAUUCAUACUGACCACAAAGUGAAAAGAAAA